GCAUAGAGGCCAGCGAAGAAGUUAA
rnacentral:piRNA from 1 species